rnacentral:rRNA from 1 species
UACGUAGGGGGCGAGCGUUGUCCGAAGUUACUGGGCGUAAAGCGCGCGUAGGCGGCUUUUUAAGUCUGGUGUGAAAGGUUCAGGGCUCAACCCGAACAGUGCACUGGAUACUGGAUGGCUUGAGUUUGGGAGAGGGAUGCGGAAUUCCAGGUGUAGCGGUGAAAUGCGUAGAUAUCUGGAGGAACACCGGUGGCGAAGGCGGCAUCCUGGACCAACACUGACGCUGAGUGAGCGAAAGCCAGGGGAGCAAACGGG